GGAUGAGAGAGGCUCUGCUGUGGAUGCAGAGGACACCCCUGCCUUCCAGAUGAUCAGAAAGAUCCACUUCAUUUCCACGGAGCUGAUCAUUGUCUGUGAUGUCUGUGCCCUUAAACGUCCCCUGGGUUCUGUGGAGCUCAGCUGCAAAGCAUGGCCUGCUGCUGUGGCAGUUAGAACUGCAGCAUGUGACCUGCCAAGCUGCUGCCUCAGGGAACAAGGUGACAGCUCUUUUGC